GAUGAAGAACGCAGCAAAAUGCAAUAAGUAAUGUGAAUUGCAGAAUUCAGUGAAUCAUCGAAUCUUUGAACGCACAUUGCGCCCGCCAGUACUCUGGCGGGCAUGCCUGUCCGAGCGUCAUUUCAACCCUCAGGGCCCUCCAGCAGGGCGCUGGUGUUGGGGAUCGGCAGUCCCAGCGGCUGCCGUCCCUGAAAUGUAGUGGCGGUCCCACCGUGACCUCCCCUGUGCAGUACAUCGCUCGCAGAGGGACAGCGGUGCGGCCACGCCGUAAAACGCCCAACUCUUCAAGGUUGACCUCGGAUCAGGUAGGAUUACCCGCUGAACUUAAGCAUAUCAAUAAGCGGAGGA
rnacentral:misc_RNA from 1 species